CGGCGUUGGCACAAAAGUGCAUACACAUAAAGAAAUACCGACUUUCUGUGCGUUUAGCAUCAACUUCGUUCUGACUCGUUCUUUUAGAAAGAGCAUAAAACUUAAGUUUUUUCAAACGUGCGAACCAUAACUAUCGACAGACGAAGAUUUUUUAGUACCGGACAUUAUCAAUGAAACACAUCAACAUGCAGAAAGUAUGUGCAAUAGGCGAGCAAGAAACCCGAGCAAAAAGAUCCUCCCUAAGAAGAGCGAAAAAAUCAACAAGUAAAAGUGUUUGCUUCUGUAGUCACUUGUUUGAUAUCAGAAGAAAAAAUCGUCAAACAUUUGGAAAAUUCUUUCUUGUUCGUAUUCGUUCAAAGAGACUUUUCAGCCAAGGUUGAAAUAUAUUAAAUUGGCAAUAUUUUUACAAGUCACAAAGCUUUAUAUACUUUUUUUACGUUUAUAUUGCUAUUUACACUUUCCAAUCUUGACUUUAUGAAAUAUAGCAAUCAUAAGACGGAUAUUCGAGGCUUAUCUAGAAUGUCAACAGGAAAAUACUUCGCAGCAUAUUUUUAUUAAAUAUCUGAGAUAAA